CUUAUGCUUAAAAAAUACGAGGGGGGAGUGUGGUGCUUUCACAGUUACGUUAAUUAGAUAAGAUUAGAUUAGAUAGGUGACGUCAGGGAAAUACAGAAAAUUCAUGCUUUCCUGAAAAACGGCAUCUAAUUCAUAGUUGCAUGCUUUUCAUCACGUUGUCUUCAUAUGGCGAGUCUUUUUAUCUUAUGCCGUAUAAAAGAUCUUUMUAGACACAAGACAACUUCUAAAGUAUCUUGAGAGAAGCCUUCUCGACUCAUAACGUUUAUCUUCCGAGAAUCCCUGGAGUUCGUUUAGCCUGAGACUAUUAUUUCAUUACAUGACACUUUUCUUUGAAGGUGGACAUGGUGUCAUCGAAGACUUAAAUACACUGAUCUUGAAUCAUCGACAAAGUAUUUCAAUUUCGAGUUAUCUUGAAACUACUCCUAAUUUUUCUUCAACUGUUGUAAAACAUAUAGUGAACUGAAGAGGUUUUAAUAAACGAAACUAGUUUUCA